rnacentral:tRNA from 1 species
GCCUUCGUGGUGUAGUGAUUACCACGCUCGACGUGUAACCGAGAGGUCCGUGGUUCGAUUCCCGGUGAGGGCG